rnacentral:rRNA from 1 species
GAGUUUGAUCAUGGCUCAGGAUGAACGCUAGCGACAGGCCUAACACAUGCAAGUCGAGGGGCAGCACAAGAUAGCUUGCUAUUGAGGUGGCGACCGGCGCACGGGUGAGUAACGCGUAUGCAACCUGCCUGUAAGAGUGGGAUAGCCUCUCGAAAGAGAGAUUAAUACCGCAUAAUACUUUUGAUCUGCAUAGGUCGAAAGUUAAACAUUUAUGGCUUACAGAUGGGCAUGCGUAACAUUAGCUAGUUGGUAAGGUAACGGCUUACCAAGGCGACGAUGUUUAGGGGUUCUGAGAGGAAGGUCCCCCACACUGGUACUGAGACACGGACCAGACUCCUACGGGAGGCAGCAGUGAGGAAUAUUGGUCAAUGGACGCAAGUCUGAACCAGCCAAGUCGCGUGAAGGAUGAAGGUCUUAUGGAUUGUAAACUUCUUUUAUAUGGGAAUAAAAAAUGUCACGUGUGAUAUAUUGCAUGUACCAUAUGAAUAAGGAUCGGCUAACUCCGUGCCAGCAGCCGCGGUAAUACGGAGGAUCCGAGCGUUAUCCGGAUUUAUUGGGUUUAAAGGGUGCGUAGGCGGUCUCUUAAGUCAGCGUUGAAAGUUUUCGGCUCAACCGGAAAAUUGGCAUUGAAACUGGGAGACUUGAGUGUAAAUGAAGUUGGCGGAAUUCGUUGUGUAGCGGUGAAAUGCAUAGAUAUAACGAAGAACUCCGAUUGCGAAGGCAGCUGACUAACAUACAACUGACGCUGAUGCACGAAAGCGUGGGGAUCAAACAGGAUUAGAUACCCUGGUAGUCCACGCAGUAAACGAUGUAUACUAACUGUUGGCGAUAUACAGUCAGUGGUAAAGCGAAAGCGUUAAGUAUUCCACCUGGGGAGUACGCCGGCAACGGUGAAACUCAAAGGAAUUGACGGGGGCCCGCACAAGCGGAGGAACAUGUGGUUUAAUUCGAUGAUACGCGAGGAACCUUACCCGGGCUUGAACGUAGGGAGACAGGAGGGGAAACCCUUUCUCUAGCAAUAGCUGCCUACGAGGUGCUGCAUGGUUGUCGUCAGCUCGUGCCGUGAGGUGUCGGCUUAAGUGCCAUAACGAGCGCAACCCACGUCUUUAGUUGCCAUCAGGUAGGGCUGGGCACUCUGAAGAAACUGCCAGCGUAAGCUGCGAGGAAGGUGUGGAUGACGUCAAAUCAGCACGGCCCUUACGUCCGGGGCGACACACGUGUUACAAUGGUCGGUACAAAGGGUUGCUACCUGGUGACAGGAUGCUAAUCUCUAAAACCGGUCUCAGUUCGGAUCGAAGUCUGCAACUCGACUUCGUGAAGCUGGAUUCGCUAGUAAUCGCGCAUCAGCCAUGGCGCGGUGAAUACGUUCCCGGGCCUUGUACACACCGCCCGUCAAGCCAUGGAAGCUGGGGGUACCUGAAGUAUGCAACCGCAAGGAGCGUCCUAGGGUAAAACUAGUAACUGGGGCUAAGUCGUAACAAGGUAACCG